UUUUAAGACACUUUGCCGUACUGUCCAGACCCAAUGUACAUCACACACCUUGAAUCAGACCCUUAAAUGGACCAGUUCAGGGUCUCGCGCACAAACACCAAACCCCACGUUUUACAGAGUGUGGACCUUACAUCCAAACUGAGAAGGCAGAUUUCUCAGUCACUCACGCGGGGAGUCACCUUUUCCUGCCUCCAAGGGGAGACAACACUCCGGAUUCAGAGGGCUUAGUCGGGGGCAUUCCCCUCGGUGAAGCCCACCCACGCUUCCGCUCUCUGAUGACACUCGACGGAAUCAAGUUUCCAUCAUGAAAGACACAUCGUCACAAGUGGCAACAUGGAAGUUUAGGCUAGUUUGGGAUAUUAUUUUAGACACAUCUCACAAAUCGGAGACGAAAAGUCAGAUUGGAGCUCUGCGGGGAUUUGGUUUUUGAUGCCCACAGAUUCAGCAUAUUUCUUUAUUUGUGCAUUUACAUUUUUACACAGGGCAACUUGCCUUUCUACAACUUGAAUCAGAGCUUUUUAAAUGAAUGAAUUGAGCCGCCUUGCUACUGUACAAACUAAACAGUCAUGUGUGUUUAAACUAAGUAAGACACAUGACACUGCAGUGGAGACUUCGGGGGAAUAGCCCCAUUAUAGCCUUCCCUCUGGCAAGCAUACCCUCAGCCACUGUACCUCCCCCCACCUCAUCUAUAUAGAGCUUCUGUCUGGCAGUGACUUUCUGUCCUGGCAGGGCACUCUGGGGUGAGGGCGAAGCGGGGAGAAAUACACUUUAAUCAUGGUGGACUUCUGCUUUUAUUUGCCCGUACCUCCUUUCGCAAGCUUGCAACAGCCUCAUCUGUGACGACAGGAGGAAGGAGAACCAGAGCAGCCACUGGUCGGGUCAGUUUCUGCCACUUCAGAUCCUGUCUGGUGGGUUUUGGUGCAUUUAGAGAAGAUUUCAGUGGCUUUGGACACCUGCCUCGUGACUGUUAAACGACUGAAACAGA